GGGGACGUAGUAUAACGGCCAUUACGCGCGCCUGUCUAGCGUGAUACCCGGGUUCAACUCCCGGCGUCCUCGCCA
rnacentral:tRNA from 1 species